GAUGAACGCUGGCGGCGUGCCUAAUACAUGCAAGUCGAGCGAACAGACGAGGAGCUUGCUCCUCUGACGUUAGCGGCGGACGGGUGAGUAACACGUGGAUAACCUACCUAUAAGACUGGGAUAACUUCGGGAAACCGGAGCUAAUACCGGAUAAUAUAUUGAACCGCAUGGUUCAAUAGUGAAAGACGGUUUUGCUGUCACUUAUAGAUGGAUCCGCGCCGCAUUAGCUAGUUGGUAAGGUAACGGCUUACCAAGGCAACGAUGCGUAGCCGACCUGAGAGGGUGAUCGGCCACACUGGAACUGAGACACGGUCCAGACUCCUACGGGAGGCAGCAGUAGGGAAUCUUCCGCAAUGGGCGAAAGCCUGACGGAGCAACGCCGCGUGAGCGAUGAAGGUCUUCGGAUCGUAAAACUCUGUUAUUAGGGAAGAACAAAUGUGUAAGUAACUAUGCACGUCUUGACGGUACCUAAUCAGAAAGCCACGGCUAACUGCGUG
rnacentral:rRNA from 1 species